rnacentral:rRNA from 1 species
GACGAACGCUGGCGGCGUGCCUAAUACAUGCAAGUAGAACGCACAGUUUAUACCGUAGCUUGCUACACCAUAGACUGUGAGUUGCGAACGGGUGAGUAACGCGUAGGUAACCUGCCUGGUAGCGGGGGAUAACUAUUGGAAACGAUAGCUAAUACCGCAUCAUAUUGAUUAUUGCAUGAUAAUUAAUUGAAAGGUGCAAUUGCACCACUACUAGAUGGACCUGCGUUGUAUUAGCUAGUAGGUGAGGUAACGGCUCACCUAGGCGACGAUACAUAGCCGACCUGAGGGGAUGAUCGGCCGCACGUGGGAGGGGACACGGACCAGACCUGUGAGGGAGGCACCAGUAGGGAAUCUUCGGCAGUGGACGGAAGUCUGACCGAGGAACGCCGCGUGAGUGAAGAAGGUCUUUGGAGCGUAAAGCUCGGUUGUAAGAGAAGAGCGGGCGUGAGAGUGGAAAGAUCACGCUGUGACGGUAUCUUACCAGAAAGGGACGGCUAACUACGUG